UGCCAGCCGCCACGGUAAUACGGAGGGUGCAAGCGUUGUUCGGAUUUACUGGGCGUAAAGCGUGUCUAGGCGGAUUAGCAAGUCAGGUGUGAAAGCCCCAGGCUCAACCUGGGAUGGUCGCCUGAAACUGCUAACCUUGAGUUCCGGGGGGGUAAGUGGAAUUCCGAGUGUAGAGGUGAAAUUCGUAGAUAUUCGGAGGAACACCUGUGGCGAAAGCGACUUACUAACCGGACACUGACGCUCAAACACGAAAGCGUGGGUAGCAAACAGGAUUAGAUA
rnacentral:rRNA from 1 species